UAGCACCCUGCAGGGAUUUCCAGCCUGUCAACCCCGGUUUUCCCUGGCAGUCAUCCUUCCCACAACCACGUGGUUCCAGAGGACAAGCAGACACAGCGCAGACCCCCUCCAGAAACUGCAGAAAUGGGAGCAGCUGGAUUUGGGAAAAGGGAGCGUCAGAACAUAGACCCCGGAAAGCACUAACCACAUACUCUCUCUCCUGGAAUGGCUCCCGGCUAGUAGCAUGAUGCAGUUUAUUUUCAGUUGGCAUGGUGUGAACUGUUGUUUUUUUUGUUUUGUUUGGUUUUUUUUU